rnacentral:rRNA from 1 species
AGGUCAAGCUACAACGGGCUCACGGUGGAUACCUAGGCACGCAGAGGCGAAGAAGGACGUGGUUACCGACGAUACGCCUCGGGGAGCCGGAAGCAGGCAUUGAUCCGAGGAUUUCCGAAUGGGGCAACCCUAUAUACGGCCACCUGAAUCCAUAGGGUGGCGCGAGCGAACCCGGCGAACUGAAACAUCUUAGUAGCCGGAGGAAGAGAAAGAAAACUCGAUUCCCAUAGUAGCGGCGAGCGAAGUGGGAAGAGCCUAAACCAGGGGUUUUUACCUCUGGGGUUGUGGGACAGCGACAUGGAAUCUAGCGACUAGACGAAGCAUUGGAAUGAUGCACCAGAGAAGGUAAAAGUCCUGUAGUCGAAAGUUUAAGGAUACUAGCUGAAUCCCGAGUAGCACGGGGCACGAGAAAUCCCGUGUGAAUCAUCGAGGACCACCUCGAAAGGCUAAAUACUCCUGCGUGACCGAUAGUGAACCAGUACCGCGAGGGAAAGGUGAAAAGAACCCCGGGAGGGGAGUGAAAUAGAACAUGAAACCGUGAGCCUACAAGCAGUUAAAGCCCGAUUAAACGGGUGAUAGCGUGCCUGUUGAAGAAUGAGCCGGCGACUUAUAGGCACUGGCAGGUUAAGUCGGGAAUGACGAAGCCAAAGGGAAACCGAGUCUGAAAAGGGCGAUAGUCAGUGUUUAUAGACCCGAACCCGGGUGAUCUAACCAUGGCCAGGAUGAAGCUUGGGUGAUACCAAGUGGAGGUCCGAACCGACCACCGUUGAAAAGGUGGCGGAUGAGCUGUGGUUAGGGGUGAAAUGCCAAUCGAACCCGGAGCUAGCUGGUUCUCCUCGAAAUGUGUUGAGGCACAGCGGUUGUGAUUAUAGCUGGGGGGUAAAGCACUGUUUCGGUGCGGGCUGCGAGAGCGGUACCAAAUCGAGACAAACUCAGAAUACCCAGUGUACACACAGCCAGUCAGACGGUGGGGGAUAAGCUUCAUCGUCGAAAGGGAAACAGCCCAGACCACCAGCUAAGGUCCCCAAAUGGAUGCUAAGUGAUAAAGGAGGUGGGAUUGCAGAGACAACCAGGAGGUUUGCCUAGAAGCAGCCAUCCUUAAAAGAGUGCGUAAUAGCUCACUGGUCAAGCGAUCCUGCGCCGAAAAUGAACGGGGCUAAGCAUCCUACCGAAGCUGUGGACUUGUACUUGUACAAGUGGUAGAGGAGCGUUCUAUGCGAGUUGAAGCGUUAGCGAGAGCAGGCGUGGAUUGCAUAGAAGUGAGAAUGUCGGCUUGAGUAGCGAAAAUGUGGGUGAGAAUCCCACACCCCGAAAUCCCAAGGGUUCCUCCGGAAGGCUCGUCCGCGGAGGGUUAGUCGGGACCUAAGGCGAGGCCGAAAGGCGUAGUCGAUGGAUAACAGGUUAAUAUUCCUGUACCUGAUUUGGAUUGUGGCGGGGGACGGAGAAGGCUAAGACAGCCGGGUAAUGGUAGUCCCGGUUUAAGUGUCCGAGGUGAUGAGAGACGGCGAAAACGUCUUGAGCUGAGGCAUGAGUACGACCCGCUACGGCGGGGAAGUGUCUGACGUCAGGCUUCCAAGAAAAGCCCGAACCACGUUAAUUCAAAUGAGCCCGUACCCUAAACCGACACAGGUGGGAAGGUAGAGUAUACCCAGGGGCGCGAGAUAACUCUCUCUAAGGAACUCGGCAAAAUGGCCCCGUAACUUCGGGAGAAGGGGUGCCACUGAAAGGUGGCCGCAGUGAAGAGUCCCAGGCGACUGUUUACCAAAAACACAGGUCUCCGCUAAGUCGCAAGACGAUGUAUGGGGGCUGACGCCUGCCCAGUGCCGGAAGGUUAAGGAAGUUGGUCAGGUUCUUCGGAACUGAAGCUAGCGACUGAAGCCCCGGUGAACGGCGGCCGUAACUAUAACGGUCCUAAGGUAGCGAAAUUCCUUGUCGGGUAAGUUCCGACCCGCACGAAAGGCGUAACGAUCUGGGAGCUGUCUCGGAGAGAGGCUCGGCGAAAUAGGAAUGUCUGUGAAGAUACGGACUACCUGCACCCGGACAGAAAGACCCUAUGAAGCUUUACUGUAGCUUGGUAUUGGGUUCGGGCUUGUCAUGCGCAGGAUAGGUGGGAGACUAUGAAGCAGUCCUUGUGGGGGUUGUGGAGUCACCGGUGAGAUACCACUCUUGACAGGCUAGAAUUCUAACGUUGACCCGUUAUCCGGGCAGCGGACAGUAUCAGGUGGGCAGUUUGACUGGGGCGGUCGCCUCCUAAAUGGUAACGGAGGCGCGCAAAGGUUCUCUCAGGCUGGUUGGAAAUCAGCCCUCGAGUGUAAAGGCAUAAGAGAGCUUGACUGCAAGACUGACAAGUCGAGCAGGUACGAAAGUAGGCCUUAGUGAUCCGACGGUUCCGCGUGGAAGGGCCGUCGCUCAACGGAUAAAAGUUACUCUAGGGAUAACAGGCUGAUCUCCCCCAAGAGUUCACAUCGACGGGGAGGUUUGGCACCUCGAUGUCGGCUCAUCGCAACCUGGGGCUGUAGUCGGUCCCAAGGGUUGGGCUGUUCGCCCAUUAAAGCGGUACGUGAGCUGGGUUCAGAACGUCGUGAGACAGUUCGGUCCAUAUCCGGUGCAGGCGUAGGAACAUUGAGAGGAGUCUUCCUUAGUACGAGAGGACCGGGAAGAACGCACCGCUGGUGUACCUGUUAUCGUGCCAACGGUAAACGCAGGGUAGCCAAGUGCGGAGAGGAUAACCGCUGAAAGCAUCUAAGUGGGAAGCCCACCUCAAGAUGAGUGUUCCCAUGGCAUAAGCCAGUAAGGUCACGGGUAGACCACCCGUUGAUAGGUUCUAGAUGGAAGUCCAGUAAUGGAUGCAGUCGAGGAAUACUAACAGACCGAGGGCUUGACCUUAU